rnacentral:rRNA from 1 species
AGCAGCCGCGGUAAUUCCAGCUCCAAUAGCGUAUAUUAAAGUUGUUGCAGUUAAAAAGCUCGUAGUUGAAUUUCGGGGUCAGCAAGUUGGUCGUGCCACCGGUAUGUACUGGCUUUGCUGAUUCCUCCUUCUUGUAGAACCGUAAUGCCAUUAAGUUGGUGUUGCGGGAAAACAGGACUGUUACUUUGAAAAAAUUAGAGUGUUUAAAGCAGGCUAACGCUUGAAUACAUUAGCAUGGAAUAAUGAAAUAGGACGACGAUCCUAUUUUGUUGGUUUCUAGGAUUGACGUAAUGAUUAAUAGGGAUAGUUGGGGGCAUUAGUAUUCAAUUGUCAGAGGUGAAAUUCUUGGAUUUAUUGAAGACUGACUACUGCGAAAGCAUUUGCCAAGGAUGUUUUCAUUAAUCAAGAACGAAAGUUAGGGGAUCGAAGACGAUCAGAUACCGUCGUAGUCUUAACCAUAAACUAUGCCGACUAGGGAUCGGAUGAUGUUAAUUUUAUAAUGUACUCAUUCGGCGCCUUA